GGACCUCCCUUAAGGUCCCUAGAGCAUCCAAACUAAUAGCCUCUCAUGCUUAGGUCUCCCCAUGCCCUUUCUUCCUCUCCCUUUCUCUUCUCCCUUUGGGCAUCCCACAUGCCCCAACCUUUGGGACGUCCCAAGUCUCCCACGUUCAAGGUGUUAGGCGUUCUCUUAGGUUGUAGCAGCAGCAUAUAGCAAGGGAGAAAGGCUAGAGAAAAGGAGAAGAAGAAGAUCAAGGAAAAAGCGUUGAUCAUGAUCCAGACUUCAUUCAGAUUUAGCAAGCUGAAUUUUCUUAGAGAAGAAAAUUCAAAUUCUAGAAGGCUGUUUCAGGCUGAUCCCGAGUAGAUAUCCGUAGAGGCCGGACACUUAUGCAGUUAGAAGAAAAUUUCUUCUCUUCCAAAUCCAAAUUCGAAGAAAAAAAUUGCGAAAUAGGUAUGUAAAUUGAUCACAAUCUGAAUUUCAGCAUAUGUCAAUUUCAGCACAUGAACUAGAUCCCUGUGGUUUUAUGUUUUUAUGCAUGCAUAAUUCAGAUUAAAAAUAUUUUAAUCUCAUAUUUUACUGUGGUGUUUAGAAAAUAAAGUUUUGAAAUACACAUGUAUACCCUGAACCUCGAAUUUCAACAGUCGUAUCAAAGUCACGGAUUUCAUAUUACUGAAAUUGUCAUACAUAUUUUGAAAAGAGUUUCAAAAUCUGAUUUUUUUUUUAUAUAUGAGAUGUAUAGAUGAAUUUUAGAAUCUGAAAUUUAAUUUUGG
rnacentral:lncRNA from 1 species